AGGUAAGCUACUAAGAGCGAAUGGUGGAUGCCUUGACUGGUAAAGGCGAUGAAGGACGUACUAGACUGCGAUAAGCUACGGGGAGCUGUCAAGAAGCUUUGAUCCGUAGAUUUCCGAAUGGGGCAACCCAAUGUAUAGAGAUAUACAUUACCUAUAUAGGAGCGAACGAGGGGAAUUGAAACAUCUUAGUACCCUCAGGAAAAGAAAUCAAUAGAGAUUGCGUCAGUAGCGGCGAGCGAAAGCGCAAGAGGGCAAACCCAGUGCUUGCACUGGGGGUUGUAGGACUGCAAUGUGCAAGAGGUGAGUUUAGCAGAACAUUCUGGAAAGUAUAGCCAUAGAGGGUGAUAGUCCCGUAUGCGAAAAACAAACCUUAGCUAGCAGUAUCCUGAGUAGGGCGGGACACGAGAAAUCCUGUCUGAAGCUGGGUCGACCACGAUCCAACCCUAAAUACUAAUACCAGAUCGAUAGUGCACAAGUACCGUGAGGGAAAGGUGAAAAGAACUGAGGUGAUCAGAGUGAAAUAGAACCUGAAACCAUUUGCUUACAAUCAUUCAGAGCCCUAUGUAGCAAUACAGGGUGAUGGACUGCCUUUUGCAUAAUGAGCCUGCGAGUUGUGGUGUCUGGCAAGGUUAAGCAAACGCGAAGCCGUAGCGAAAGCGAGUCUGAAUAGGGCGCUUAGUCAGAUGCUGCAGACCCGAAACGAAGUGAUCUAUCCAUGAGCAAGUUGAAGCUAGUGUAAGAACUAGUGGAGGACUGAACCCAUAGGCGUUGAAAAGCCCCGGGAUGACUUGUGGAUAGGGGUGAAAGGCCAAUCAAACUUCGUGAUAGCUGGUUCUCUCCGAAAUAUAUUUAGGUAUAGCGUUGUGUCGUAAUAUAAGGGGGUAGAGCACUGAAUGGGCUAGGGCAUACACCAAUGUACCAAACCCUAUCAAACUCCGAAUACCUUAUAUGUAAUCACAGCAGUCAGGCGGCGAGUGAUAAAAUCCGUCGUCAAGAGGGAAACAACCCAGACUACCAGCUAAGGUCCCUAAAUCUUACUUAAGUGGAAAACGAUGUGAAGUUACUUAAACAACCAGGAGGUUGGCUUAGAAGCAGCCAUCCUUUAAAGAAAGCGUAAUAGCUCACUGGUCUAGUGAUUUUGCGCGGAAAAUAUAACGGGGCUAAAGUAAGUACCGAAGCUGUAGACUUGCGCACAACUUAGAUUAUUUAAGUUUAGAAUAUGAGAAACUAAGUUAUAUGUUUAGUUAUAUUUUUACUGAUUUUUAUAGAGUAAAGAUAGAAAUAAAACUUAGUAAAAUCAGUAAAAAUAUUCUUAGACUAAAGUUAAGUAGUUUAAGUUGUGUGCAAGUGGUAGGAGAGCGUUCUAUUUGCGUCGAAGGUAUACCGGUAAGGAGUGCUGGAGCGAAUAGAAGUGAGCAUGCAGGCAUGAGUAGCGAUAAUUAAUGUGAGAAUCAUUAACGCCGUAAACCCAAGGUUUCCUACGCGAUGCUCGUCAUCGUAGGGUUAGUCGGGUCCUAAGUCGAGUCCGAAAGGGGUAGACGAUGGCAAAUUGGUUAAUAUUCCAAUACCAACAUUAGUGUGCGAUGGAAGGACGCUUAGGGCUAAGGGGGCUAGCGGAUGGAAGUGCUAGUCUAAGGUCGUAGGAGGUUAUACAGGCAAAUCCGUAUAACAAUACUCCGAGAACUGAAAGGCUUUUUGAAGUCUUCGGAUGGAUAGAAGAACCCCUGAUGCCAUCGAGCCAAGAAAAGUUUCUAAGUUUAGCUAAUGUUGCCCGUACCGUAAACCGACACAGGUGGGUGGGAUGAGUAUUCUAAGGCGCGUGGAAGAACUCUCUUUAAGGAACUCUGCAAAAUAGCACCGUAU
rnacentral:rRNA from 1 species